UAUGCGGUUAUUUUAUCCACUGCACCUUUUCAUUACUUAUUGGUUACUAUGCAGCUUACUGCUUUCAGAAGCUGAAGGCGUAUCGCCGGAACAUAUUGCAAGUGUCCAUGUGCAUAUUUAUAUACUUGAAUAUGUUUUUUAUAUGUGUUAUGUAUAUUUAUAUACAAAUGUAAGCGCAUUGGCAAUUUGUGGUGUAUAUAUGUAUAUGUUAUUUUAUCUAAGCCGAAUUUUUGCAUAUAAAUAAAUAAAAUCUGGAAUCGAUACAACUCAAUUUAUACCGCUUAAAGAGGUAUGGGAAUGUGUAUAGAUUGUGAGUUUAUAUUGCGUUUUCCGAUCCAAUUUAUUUGCUCCUAUUCUACAGGCUGCCAGCUGUUCUGUUGCUCGCUGUGCUUUGUUUCUGUUAUAAUGCAGCUGGAGGUGUGUAUAUUGUUGUUGUUAUUUUCGAGCCCGUUUUUGUUACAUUCACAUUAUGUUGAUUAUGUUAUGUUAAUGUUUAGUGCUUAGUUUACCGCCCGUUUGUUUUUGUAUUUAUGUUUGUUUUUUAUUUAUUUUUCUUCUGGACGAGUGAUACUUAUAUUGCAUACUUGUUUUGCACUGUUUCUUUCUUUUUGUUAUAAGUUUGUAUACUUAUAUGAUUGUGUAUAUUUAUACUCUCGCAACAAAAGUUGUUGUUUUAUUUAAAUAUUUUGCGCAGUUGUAUAUUUUAUUAUUGUGUUAGUCACUGCACAUUUAUUUUAUAAGAAUAUAUAUUCCGUUCACUGCAAUUAUUUUUUACUUUUCUUUUUGUAUUUCCGAAUUUUUGUCACCGCAUUUUAUGAUUUUAAUGUGUAUGUAUUUUAUUUGAUUUUUUGGUAGUAUCACCAAUAGUGCCUUUCAGUAAGGCUCGAAGGACCAUGAAUAAUAGGGUGCAUAGCCUCUCACUAGUUUUGGACGCACUCUGUUAAUAUCCAUAUAUGUACAUAUGUCCGAAAAACAAUGAAAGACGUAUAUUGUGCUAAUACAAUUUAUAAUAUUUGUCUUUAUUCGAUUUUAUAUGGUUUAGCUAAUUUUAUAUUUUAAAUGUUAGUUUUAUACAAAGGUUGUCGAUUUAAUCAACUGCUUGCUGCGGAUGGAUGGUGAAAAA